rnacentral:rRNA from 1 species
GGAUGACUCUCGGCAAUGGAUAUCUAGGCUCUCGCAUCGAUGAAGAACAUAGCGAAAUGCGAUACUUGGUGUGAAUUGCAGAAUCCCGUGAACCAUCGAGUCUUUGAACGCAAGUUGCGCCCGGAGCCGUCAGGCCGAGGGCACGUCUGCCUGGGCGACCGA